rnacentral:lncRNA from 1 species
GAACUCAAGAUCUUUGAAAUCAUCGAAGGCAGUCGAUUUAUCGGUGAUAAUGAGUGAUAAUCAAUUUGAAUUAUUAAUUUCGAACCAACGGUUGAAUUUUUGCAUUUUUUAAUAUCAAGGUUGAGUUUCUAGGAACGAACAAGCAUAUCAGAUUUUAAAAAAAUAUGUAAGUGCCUGAUUGACCCUCAGGGUACGGACUGGGUUAGAAAAAACCAAAGCGAAUUUUGAAAGUAGCGCCAUUUUGGAUGAAGUCGAUGGUGGGGUCUGGACCUGGAGGGGGGAAAAUCUCUGAGGUCCUAACAGUCGGAGUCAGUUGGCAGCGUCAGUCUGCCAUUGUUAUUCAAGUCAAACACUUUGGAAAAUUAUAGUCGGGUCGUUCACACCCAGUCCGUACGAAACGUCACAAAAUCCAACACUUGUGAAAAUUAAAAUUUGUCCGAAACGAUCUGUUUUCAGUUGAAAAAGUGAUCAAAAGAUUUGGUAUGAUUUGGAUGGAAUCGAUUUCGGGGUCCAUAGAAAUCUAAUUGGAGCCUAAAUAAUGAUCUCUUUGAGACGUGCACUGCAAUUUGAUUCAAAAACAUUUACGGCCACAAUCGUGUAGGUACACCGUGAGGACUCCUUUUUUCGAAGACGUUUUCAAUCGUUAAAAAAAUGUGAAAAAAAAACAGACGUUUAAAAAUUUAUCUUCCGUUCUUCACGAGUGCUUCGAAUUGACGUGAAAAAUCAGACUGAUUAGCGUAUUUUAACUAUCGAAAAAGAAGUCGCGAAUAUCAACUAUUCUCCGAUCCGUACACUAGAACGAUCCCUUAAUAAUAUCUUUAUUCUAUAACUAUCGAUCUUGCAGCAAUUACUUUAUCGGAAUACCCAGAAUCGAAUGAUGCGAUUCGUUGAUGUUGUAUAACAUUUAUCGGAAAUAGCAUCUGAUCAGCGUGGCCUAAUUUAUGAAAAUCCUACCGU